UUUGUCCUCGCAAAUUAUGGUGUAACAUCUUCUGUCCAGAAGAUGUUAGUAAAAGGGAAUCCGGUGAGAGACCGGAGCUGUACCCGUAGCUGUAAGUUCUGUAAACCCCGGCACAUCUUGUUGCCACUGAAGCCCGUCUGGCGGGCUUUGGGAAGGCGGCCGAUAAAGGGAGAACGAGCCAGAAAACCUGCCAUAGUCGAAAUUAUGUG
rnacentral:ncRNA from 2 species